rnacentral:lncRNA from 1 species
AAGCCAAUGCCACAUCCAGAGCCGAAACCUGAGCCCAUGCCUCACCCUGAACCGAAACCUGAGCCAAAGCCCGAACCUAAGCCUGAGCCAAAACCCAUGCCCGAGCCAAAACCUGAACCAAAACCCAUGCCCGAGCCUAAGCCGGAACCUAAGCCUGAGCCAAAACCUGAACCAAAACCUAAGCCCGAGCCAAAACCUGAACCAAAACCUAAGCCUGAGCCAAAACCCAUGCCCGAGCCGAAACCUGAACCAAAACCCAUGCCCGAGCCUAAGCCUGAGCCAACACCCGUGCCCGAGCCAAAGCCGGAACCUAAGCCCGAGCCGAAACCCAUGCCCGAGCCAAAACCCAAGCCCGAGCCCAAGCCGGAACCCAAGCCCGAGCCGGAACCCAAGCCCGAGCCGGAACCCAAGCCCGAGCCAAAGCCGGAACCUAAGCCCGAGCCAAAGCCGGAACCUAAGCCCGAGCCGAAACCCAAGCCUGAGCCAAAGCCCGAACCGAAGCCAAAGCCCGAGCCAAAGCCGAAGCCGGAACCUAAACCCGAGCCCAAGCCUGAACCAGAGCCGAAGCCGUAUCCUAAGCCGGAACCAAAACCCAAGCCAGAACCUAAGCCCGAACCCAAGCCCAAACCCGAGCCCAAGCCUGAGCCCAAGCCGAAGCCAGACCCGCCGCACAUCCCUCCCGCAGCUGACAACUGACGAAGUGGCCGCUAGCUGUUUUGUAUGACGUUGCAGAGUAUGGUAGUAUCUGAAUAAAACCGGCUGGACCGGGAGUUGCAUCAUCUAGAUUGGUGCUCGCUGCUGCUUGUUGUACCUAUUCUUUCUUUCCAUUGUAUUGAGCUGAGUACAUUACUAGUGCAGCUUCAUUUGUUCUUUGUACAUGCAUUAUUAUCCACGUGACUCGUUGCUACACAUUUUUGGUGUCAUGCUUGAUCUCUCGCCAUCUUUGCACGUAGGCCUGACGGCUCUUUUUCUAUCGCAUGCUCCCUCCGUCCCAAAUUACAAUUUAUUUUGACUUUUCUAGAUAUAUACUAACGGAGGGAGUAUGUUUCUACGUGUUUAUGGCAUCUGAACGACAGAACACAGACAUGUGCAGUAUAAGGAUUAUGACUAAACUCAAAUUUUUGUUCUACUUUAUAGUAAAAGAAAAAAAGCAAAAGUGGUGAUAGCAAGAAUAAUGAAAGAAACACGUGAUCGAGUCGAAAAGAACUUGGACCGAUUACAGCCCUAACUUUUCUAUCUCUCGACAGUCUAUAAAGUCAGACAGUCAGUCCAUCGAUUUGAUCUUUCAGCAUCAAAACAUGACCCACACCGGUCGCUUCCCCUCUCACGUUUUUUUUCUUCGAGCUGAUGUCAACAUUGGACAUAAAUGCAUGAUGGGCUUCCAAGAUCGAUGGUGGACCAACAUACUUCAUUUUUCUUCCAUCCUUCAGUUUCUCAACUAAUGCGAAUGCGACAGGCGAUUACAACUUGGAUAUAGACCAGUCGUCGUACAGAUACAUAAGGAUGCCGAUCAGUCUUGUGCCAUAAGAAACUUAACUUUGCUCUGCCUCCUCCUCCUCCUCCUUUCUUUCAGGUAGUGCAGGACUACAACUUGUUAAUGUUGUAUUGUUGUUGCCUCUCACGGUGGUUUCAUGAGGCCCUGAUGUGUUGAGGAUAAAUAAAAAUGCUGUCAAAUUUGGUGGUGAGAAAUUGAGAAUUGUAUAUUAUGUGUGGUUGUGUAAUUUAAAUUAGGUAAUAAUCUCUAAGACCAUUUGUAUAGUAUCAGGUUCCAAUCGCUGCCACUAAUUAGAGAAACAAAAACUUGAUUUGAAUCGUGAGGUUGAGGAUGGAGCAAGCAGCUAGCUGCCUGCCCAGGCAAGCUAGUAUUCCCAUUGGUUGCAGGUUUUUAUCAAGAUUCGAUAGUGAUGAACCAAAUGAAUGAAUGGUCCACCAAUACAGUACGUGUUGUCCUGCCCUGUCCUCGCAUGAAUGAAUGUGCAAGAUUCUCGCACUUCAUUCUAUCCCGAGUGUUGCCCUGCUGCUAUGCAAUAUUACCGUGCCAAAUAUACUAUUUUGGGGCGUUUGGAUACUUAGGUGCUAAACUUUAGCAGUAUCACAUCGGAUGUUCAGAUACUAAUUAAGAGGAUUAAACAUGAACUAAUUAUAAAAUUGCAGAACCUGUGAUAAUUCGUGAGACGAAUCUAUUAAACCUAAUUAAUCCAUCAUUAGCAAAUGGUUAAUGUAGCACCACAUUGUCAAAUCAUGAACUAAUUAGGCUUAAUAGAUUCAUCUCACGAAUUAGACUCCAUCUGUGUAAUUAGUUUUGUAAUUAGCCUAUAUUUAAUACUCCUAAUUAGCAUCCAAACAUCCGAUGUGAUAGGUGCUAAACUUUAGCGGGUGUAAACACCUCCUUUGUUGCAAAAGGACUUACUGCCACGAAAUAUAUUCCGUUGCAGCAAGACUUGUUGCCACGGAACCAAAGUAAUAGUCAUUAUAUUGUCACGGCAUCAGUCAUCGUAAUUGUUUUCUAAUACAAUGCUAAUUGGGUGGCAAUUAGAAUAAAUGUUGCAACAACAUGAAAUAUGCGGCAUAAACUUUGAAGCGUGCUACUAUUUGCCACUCCUGCCAAAGAUUUUGAUAUCGUUGCAGUUAGUAUAUAUUGCCGUGUUUGACCCUACUGUGAUGAUUUUUUUUUAUCAACGCAAAAUCAUGAUUUACGUCUAUUGUGUUGGUGGGUUACUUCUCUAUCUUCUAAUACGAAUGCAUAUACAUGAUCUUUCUAUUGGGCCUCCGGCCUCUAUUAAUUUUCUAUUAUGUGGGCUGAUACAGCUCAUACGCCUUCAGGCCAAAUCAGAUAGCCAACUAGGCCUUUUAGCCCACUUAGCCCAUACGCACACUAAUAACUGGCCCAUUAGGUCCCUUUCCCGUGGGCUGUGGCCUGUGAUAUCAGUCAGAUUUACACUUGCUACAGUUCCAAGUUCAUAUACCUUCCUUUUUUUAAGGCCAUAUACACAACUUUAGAGAUCUUGAGACCUGCCACAAAUGCAAACAUAUACCACCAGACAUGCAAAGGUAAAAGCAGCUAUCCAUUUCUCAUCAAUAAGAGUGAAAGGGAUCUGUACCCAACAAAAAUUGACUUUUGUCUUGGUUCAUGUACACAACCUUUGAUGCUUUUUGUUGAAGACAACGUUACCAUUAAUUAUUUUAACCAUCAUGCCUCCAGCUUUCAUUAAGAAUGUUAAUCUACUUACAAACAGCACGGAAGGAUGGUGUUCGUCUCCAAAUUAUCUUGAAAAGUUGCUGAGCUAAUUUGACGGUGCACGUGCCUAAUUGACUCCGACAGGCCAAAACAUAUAUAUAGAGGGAGAGAUCGAGUUGGGUAGAUUUCAAAAGUAACUUUUCGUGGAGGAACAGAAUAAACCGCACCGAAUCUUGUGCAUAGGCUGUCCAGAUUAUAUUCAGUGAACCGUCUCCUAAUUAUCUUAAAAAGGUGGCUAAGCUAAUUUGACGGUGUACGUGGUUAAUUGGCUCCGACAGGCAAACAUUAUAUAUAGAAUUGGAUAGAUUUCAAAAAUAAAUUUUGAAGGGGGAACAGAAUAAACUGCACUGAAUCUUGUGCAGUAUGCUGUCCAGAUUAUAUAUAAGUCAUACAAUCUUACUCCACUGCUGAUGAUGCAUUCUGUUUCUAUCAACCACGCAAUGCUUAAUAAGUGUCUGCUUUAGUUUGACAGCAACUUUAAUGUUUUUCUCAUUCAUCCAUCAGUGGUUAUUGGAAAAGUAAGGAAGAUGAGGAAGCUCCAAUUAAAAGCCAGCACUCGGGAAAAAAAAUAACUCACAUGUUCUAUAGUAACUAAACAAAAAUAAAGUUCGAUUACUUAAUUUAUGAUUUUUUUUGUUUCACUUUUCCGUGUUCGAUUACUUAAUUUGUUAUGGAAGACAGCUUUGGUCUGCUUUGUAAUUUCUUUUCUUCCAGCCCAUAUCCCUGUCUCUUUCUCUGGUACUAACAUGAAGUGUAGGUGUAUAAUAUUCUCACUCACUUCGAAUUAUUAGCACACUUGCUACCAGUUCCAUGUAAUGAAGGAAUGUUGUCUUAGAGAUUAAAAGAAUAAAUUGCCACUUUCGUAUAGAGAGACAUAUGGCCCUCUGUUGAAAAUUAUACUAGAAUUCUUUGCAAACCAAAAACGUAUAUAUGCUGCUAUACGAUAAUGGCACUGAUCUAAACAGGAAAAAAUUAGGUAUUGUUUGUUGCUAACAAAAGCUCUAGGUAUAGUAUUACUAGUAUAUAUGCGUAGCUCCCAGUGUCCACCUUUGCUGAGAAUUUCUUCAACAUUCGGUCUCGUUUAUCAAUCAAAAAGCUAUUCAUUAAGGGCCAUGUUACCUUGAUCUAUGCAUGCAUAUGAUUUUUGGGUAACAGAAUUUAAAACUCAUAACAAAUUUUGGUAUAUGUUCAAUCUUCUUUUUUAUUAUCAUAUAUGGACCCCCAAUAAUUGAGACCCUUUAAUUUCUUUACAAGACAUAAGAAAUUAAACACUUAAAUUUAAGAAGCCCCAUAUCUGUGUGUAUUACUGAAUGGUCAAUGCAUCAAUCUGAUUGAGGAUGCCAUGCGAUUUAAGUAAUACUAGUUGUCCGAUGGGAAUAUAUGCAAAAUGCUAGGAUAGCUUUAGACGUCAUGAUACAAAGUAUCUAACAUUUGCUUAUGUUUUCCUUGCAUGUCAAAGGUUCAUUGGGUGCAUCAUUUUACUCUCAUGCCGACAACUCAAUAUAUUCUUAGUUGUCUGAAGAGUGCACUCAUACUCUCAUCCUAAAAUAUGGCUGGCAUAUUCUUUACGUAGGUGAUGCGCACUUAACCAGAAGAUGCAACUACAAAGAAAAUCAUGCAACUGGCUACGAUUGCUACGAAAGAGAAGAUUUGAUGCUGUGGUCAAUAAUUGACUUCCAUGACAAAUUAGGAAAGGCAAUGAUGAUGCCCUCCAUAUUUAGCUUAAUAACGGCCUCUUUAAUGGUAGAGGAUAGGUCCUUUUAUCCAAUAAAUUUUGAAAUGUCAUAACAUAAAUUUCACUAAGCUAUUUUAUAAGGAGAAGCACGCAGUAGCCAUCAGAACAGUUCAUUACUAAAAUCAAACUGUUUGUUUCCCUUUUUCCAACUGGGAGCAGAACCAAAUAGGCCUAGGUGGCGAGCGCCAUGCUUGCCACCAAGCGAACGUGCCUAAAUUUUGUAUAUAGUUACUAUGUACUCUAAUAGAAUUAUUGUCUUUUAAAAUUUGCCUUGAUCUGGUGGCCGCCUGGCUAACAUCUUGUUACAAGGCACCGAUGCUCCACAUCAUCGAUAUGGCUUCUCGAAGGCACAAAGGAACGCACGUGUCUCAAUUCCAAGGGCAAAUCAACUUUGCUCUAAAAGUUGUAUCUAUCUCAAUGCUUGCAUAUCCCGGUAGUUUCAUGCAAUGUGGGCUAAACUUCUGCGUUCACACAUCUCAAAAAUUUUCCGUCCUCUAGUGCCUUUCACUUUGUCUCUGGAAUGAAAGAAGAAUGUGAGCUCUAAACCUUUAAAACGGAACUUAACAACGUAACUUAAGAAUAUACUGAGACGCUAGAUAUGUGCCUGACAUUGAUGAUUUUAAUCUCAUUAAUGUUGAUAGUUUGGUACGAUAAGCAUGGAUUCUUAAGCGUCAAAUAAAAAAAAUAACUGGAGUACAAAUAACACGACACAAUUUGAACUCAUAGUAACAUUUUUCUGCAUAUAUUUACUCUCUAGCUAUACACAAGAGAAUAGUUUGACUGCAAAUGUUGUAUCUAGUGUUUUACGUAUCAUAUUGACUGCAAAAUAAAUCCUCAGAAAAUCUGAGAUUAACAAAUUAAUCACACCAGAAAACAUGUGGUGAAAAUUAAACUAUAUGGUCAAAGUUGGUAAACAAACAAAUAAAGUCUUAUAAACCUUAGAGCUUAAUUAUAUGAUAUUAUAUUUGGCCCUGAAGAAUAUUUGGGCAGAAAAAAGCGUGCGUGCACAAAAUCAUAUAAGCUGUGUAAAAAUAUGCCAUUUUCUCGACAUCCACUCAUGUGCAGAAUCCAAUACCACAACCCAUCACUGGGGAGCAAAAUUAAGAAACUCGUAUACGUAUGCCGGAACAUGAAGGAAACUGUAGUCACAUCUGUCUCCUGAUGUCACAAAAGUCAAGAGGAAAAAGAAAAAAGGAGUGUGAGAAAGCUUCCCAGCCUACACACAUAUAGGUGCCGGGGACCUGAGGUGGGGUUUUGUUGGGGCUCAAAACUAAGCUCAUUAUCUAGGGUCAACAGCUUUCAAAAGCUACAUCUCCUUCCUUAAUUUUCUCCGACCCAAGUAUUGGGCAUUGCAUCCGUCCAUCCGGUCCAGAUCUCGAGAAUAAAUGGCACGUAGCCUCAAGAUCUUCUUGCUAGCUUGUUCAUUGGUAAAUACUAGAUUUUAACUCCAAAUUAAAACGGCAUGUCCAGCCACUACAUAUCUACGCAGCCCUAAUGGAUUGAGAUGGACCUUUACAAAAGAAAAGGUAGAUUCCAAGGACCCCUGGAUUAAGGAUUAUGAUUAGGAAUCGUAUCAUCCACUCUACGUCCAACGUUGUGGCGAUACCGUGGCCGUCCGAUCGGAAAUGAAUGAUCCAAGAUACACACCAGGAGCACUAGUGUAAGAAAUAUAUUCUUGCAAGAUAGCGUGAGGUGAUCCACCACGUAUCCUUAAUUUCAUGGUACUCAUCGUCUAGAUCAGUAUCUUGCAAAUUCUUGUUGCAAUGACUGCUGAGGAAUAUUUGACCAAAUUAAAGCUCAUCAACCAUAUCUCUUUUAUUUGCACUGUGUGAGUAUACGAGCAUCUCAUUUCAGAACUCUUCCCACGGAUGCCUAUAAGUAGGCAACAGUCGUACUCCCCAUACCACGCCACACCAAGCCCCAUUUCAGCUUAGCAAGCUUUGUGUACCAGUGUCUUGGUCUUUCUGCAACAAGCUAAGUGACCAGACCACAAGCUAUAUAGGGCCGAGCGGCGAUGAGCAUGUCGAGGGACCCGCUCGUGGUCGGCAACGUCGUCGGCGACAUCGUGGACUACUUCCCUGCGUCGGCGCUGCUCCGGGUGUCCUACGGCGGCCGCGAGAUGACCUGCGGGUCGGAGCUGAGGCCGUCGCAGGUGGCGACCGAGCCGGCGGUGAGCAUCACCGGCGGAGGCCACGACGGCAGGGCACUCUACACGCUCGUGAUGGUGGACCCUGACUCGCCUAGCCCAAGCAACCCCUCCAAACGGGAGUACCUCCAUUGGUACAUACGUCUAACGACUAAGCUCUCGCUAGAUACAUUUUUUUGCAUGCUAAAUUGCUAAUGCAUAUUAGAGUUGCUUGGGGUUGGGUUCUUUGUUGAUUUUGCUGUUUUUUCAUUUGUUGUAUUAUUGUCUAAUCUGAGUUCACAUCUUUUUUUAAUAUAAUCAACAGCUCUUUUACCCGAUUUGUUUAAAAAAAUGCUAAUGCAUGAUUUUCUUAACGAUGAUGUCUUGCAUCUAUAGGUUGGUGACUGACAUACCAGAAGGAGCUGGUGCCAAUCAUGGUACGUGAGCUUAUGUACAUAGCUCAGAGCUGUAUUUUGAAUUUGAAUUUUAUGCACGAACCAGUUCACUCAAAAAACUUAUGACAUUCAUUAAGAAUGAUGGUUGAGGCCGGAUUUUUCCUUGAUCUAAAAAAACUCAAAAAAAACGUAUAACGCUCCAUCGAGGUAUUGACAAUAAUUGUGCAUCGGCAAGGAAACGAGGUGGUGGCGUACGAGAGCCCGCGGCCAACGGCGGGGAUCCACCGGUUCGUGUUCAUCGUGUUCCGGCAGGUGGUGCGGCAGGCGAUCUACGCGCCAGGGUGGCGCGCCAACUUCAACACCAGGGACUUCGCCGCCUGCUACAGCCUCGGCGCCCCCGUCGCCGGCGCCUACUUCAACUGCCAGAGGGAGGGCGGCUGCGGUGGCCGGAGGUACAGGUGAAGCGAUCAAGAAAUAAGCCAUCGGGAGCUAGCCGGUGGUGAUUAUCAAAGGAAAACGGAUAUAUAUAGCGAUGGAGAAAAAAAUUAUGGGACACACAAUAAUGCAUGGAGUGUAUAGGCUCCUAUGCUCCUUAUUGUUUCUAAUCCAUCUACGAUGUGCAUGAUUGAUGAGGCUGUUAAUAAGCAGUACUCUAAUCUAUCCAUUUGAUAGCACUUUUCUGUUAUCGUUGAAGUGUCUUCGUUUCAAAUUAUUUGUGCACAAGGAAACAGGAAUGUGUUCGUUACACUUUUGCACUCUCUGCCCAAAGUUUAAUAUUCUCAAACGAAAAGGUUAAGGAUUUGCAGUAUCGGAUUGUAUCACCUCAGUCAGGAAAAUCUGAUCUGGAUAUUGACCGGAAUUCGCAGACUAGUAACAGCUCAAAAACACCAAACGUAAUGCAUGAAAAAUUGGUGCUCUUGUAAAAAAAAUACUUGGGCUUUUUAUCAUAUGAUCAAAAUAUGGUUAAGCGAAAUUCCCGGACUUGCUAGUAACAGCUCUAAAAAACUAUUCAAAUGCAAUAUGAAGAAAUGGAACUCCUACAGAAAAAUUGGACGUGUACCAAAUUAACUAAAAUUUGAAAUAGGCCGGUAUAUAAUAUAUACACACACACACUUGAAAAGGAGAUGGAAGAUAGAUGAAAUUUCAAGUACUUUAUACAAAAUAAGUUCGAAUGUGAUCCAAAAACUGCAAGCUUGGACAGGCCCACACGGUCUAUCUAUCUGUCCAAGUAUCCAUCUUCGAUCGCGUGGUACGCCAACACAUGCAGCGCCGCAAAGGCAACGAGCACGCGUGUAGAAUAGCACCGCUAGUUCAAUAAUUUGUUGUUAAUUUCCGAGCUUAAGAUUAAGCUGUUGUCUGAAUAUAGGAGUAGGAUGCAUCGACACAAGGCAACGAGAUGUACUACUUUUUCUUAAUAGAAAUACUAAGUACUGUACUAAGCUAUCAACAGAAGUACCCACUAGCUAAAGCUCUCAAGACCACUUAGCGGCAGUUUAGCUGUUCUUGGGACCAAAUUAAUUUGAUUAUGAGACCACAUAUGAAUAUCAAUUCCUACUAUCUUCUUUUAUCUGUCACGUAUUAAUAAUGCACCAUCGUUCUGUCAUAGUCCAUUGUGACAUUGUCAGACAAUUCCUGAAAAAUGAGCGUAUGAUAAAAAAUUCCUAACUAAAUCCACAAUUAAGGCAUAACAUAUCUUCUCUCUACUGACACACGUCUUGGUGGAUCAAACUCUUUCAACUUUAGGUCGGUCCUAUCGAGCACUUUAGGUCGGUCCUAUCGCUCGAUAGGAAGGGAGACCGACAAGGUGAAACCUAUCUCACCCAAAAUUAAGGGCUAGCAGCUUCUCAGCGUGAAAAAUUAGAAGUUUAAAUAAACAGUAAGUUUCCUAUGCAGCUUCUGGAAGCUGGAAGCUUGAAAAAGUUGAGUUUAUAUGGGAUGCUGAAAAGCUCAAUUUUUCAAGCUUUUCGUAACCUUUUAAGUCCAGAAAGCUAAACACAUCUUCUAAAAGCUAGUAUUAGUUUUUAAAAAUAAAAUCAGCAGCAACUUUUCAAAAAAAUUCAAAAGCUAUAGCUUAAACAAACUGGUAGUACUCACUUUUUAUUCUCGCACCACCACCGCCACACUUGCCGUGUGAUGUGGUCUAUGGCUGCUAGGUAACCGUUACCGGACAUAUAAGCGGUGAGGAUGCAGCUCACGUAACACGAGAGCAAAAAGAUAAUGAGGGAGUCAUUACUUGUCCUCCUCGUUUGUCGGAAAGUAGGAAAUGGUUGUAACUUGUACUCAUUGGAGGUACUUUAAUAGCAUAUAGUAGGUUAUUUCCAAUAGCUUAGCUAUAUCCUUGGUUGUCUUCAUUGGAGGGGUGAUGUCAUCCUCGAUGAUUUUUAGCCGUUGGAGAUACAAGAAAUUAAAUCUUCAUAUAUACUGUGGCAGAGAGUUGUCUAGUUCGCUCACAUUUUUCUAGUAAUCGCUGUAUCAUCAAGAAGUGCACAAUGGCAUUGCGUUAUCACUUUUUUUCCUUUUGCAAAAGAACACAGAGCUCAGACGAAUGCACACUCUGAUUACACGUAUUUCUAUAGCAUCCUCACUCAGUAGACGUACCAUCACAUAAGAAAAAACAAAAGUAAGUUUCCAUCUCGCCGGUCUCAAUCCCACAUUGUUCGAAUCCUUCCUUGCAGUUAGCAACGGCCAAACAGUGAAGCACUUCCAAAAGGAAAUUAUUCCUACCCACUACACAUACGAGGUCAGGUCCGGUCAAGACGAAGACGGACGUGCCGACGUUGGUUGGUAGUUGGUACGGCCGAGUUGCCGACACAACCCCAUAUUUGCAGAGCAGAUACCAAAUCCCACAAACGACGAGGAUCGAGCUGCUUGGCCGACGACGCUGCACGUUCGCCGCCGGAGCAGGGCCGGCCGCCGCAAUUUCAAGGCGGGGCCGGCGAUGGCGAGAUGACGGCGACGCAGCUGGGCACGAAUUGGAAUUGAUGAGCAGCGAAUGAUUGCCCCGCCGGAAAGAUUAUUCGAUCCGAUAGAUUGGUGAACCUAUAGCUAGUGCGGCCGAAAGCUGCAGCGCCUUGCGUUUGCGUGGCUGUGGCGCCGUGCAAAGUGCAUCCCGCGGCCCGGCCGCCGGCGCCGCCGCCCUGCAGGGCGGAGCAACUUGCGCGCCGUCAUCGGAGCUGUGAUCGACACCCGGUGUAAAUCUCGAUGAUCAAGCUAGGUCCACGCACCCAGCUGAUAGCAUGUGGAUCAGUAUAUAUCCAGUGAUUGCUAUGUGACAUCUGUGUAUAGCAGGGCGAGCACAAAUCUCGAGAAAACGUGAGUGUAUACCUGACCUCCAUCUAGUUACUAGCUAAUUGCAUGAGGAAUCCGGCAAUUUUUGUUGCCUAGCUGGACAGAUGGAAAGGCAUAUCGAUCUAGUAUACUGUACCAAAAGUGGUGUGGGAUGGAUCCUUGACUGGGAUGGGAUCCAAGCACUUUCCUUUCAGCUACAUUACAAGAACAUUAAUAAUGGAGCGACUUGAUUAGAGCAUCUCCAUUGGUCUCCCAAUAACUAGUUAAUAGGAUGUCCCAAUAUCACUUUCAUUGUUAUUGGGAGAGUUGCUUUUGCAGUCUCCCAAUAAUCUCAUCCCAAUCCAAUUACCGUAUUGGGAGGGUCACACUUUAUUUAGGAAGAUUUGAGGUGAAUUAUUGGAUAGUCCCAAUAAUUAUUGGGAAAAGAAAAAAAAGGUAAAGGGAGACGGUUGGAGCACUAUUUUCUUAUCAACUCUCCCAAUACGAUAGUUGGAUCGGGAAAAGGAAGACUACUAGAGAUGCUCUUAGGUCCAUCGAUGUAGAACCAACCUAUCCGUUUCAAGUAUCAGAUUCAAAAGGUGCAUUGUAUUUCAUGGCUAAUUAUUCUUUCGACGGUAGGCAAAGUGGCCGUAGUAACUACCUAGUUCUAGAACUAGUUUUCAAUAACAAUUUCAGUUGAUUUUAGAACUAUUUUAAAAUUCAAGUUCUUUUAAAUUAGACUAUUCAACUGCCCAACCAGAAUAUAUAAAAUUUCCUGUAGUUAAUAUAAAUGUUUAUGCAGUGGCAUUUAUUCCAUCGAAUCUUCCUAGCUAGUUUAUGUCAUUUCACUCUCAUAAGCUUCAAGACAAAACGAGGUCAACAUCAUACGAAGAGCAUAACGAUACUAAUCAAUUGGUGAAACGGCAUCAUAAAUAACAUGGAGGUCCAGAGUUGAGUACCAAGGGGAAUUUGUGUAGCUUUCAAACAUAAAAGGUAAUAUUCUAGAGUUAGAAGGAUGAUGAUACCACUCAAAUUUUUGGCCUCACAUGCGGAUGCGAGCCAGAUAACGUGUCGAGCAUAUAUGGUGAAUUAUUUAACAAGAACAAAAAUUUAUUCGCAUGGAACAAAAUGGUUCUAUACCUAAAAAAAUGAGGUAAACACAUGGUGAUGAGGACAUCGCCAUGCUGGACACCCACGAGUCAUGGUCUUCCCCAAGUUACAGGUCGUCACCAAUUCGGUCGUUGUGUUUAGUUCGGAUUCAGCUGACAUCCUUGCACGAUUUCGGCCAUAAUCUCCCUCAUACAACAUCGAAACAAGACGUUCUUUGAUGCGUUGGAACGGGGAUGACGACGUCGUUCUUUUGGUUCUGGUCCUAGUUCUAGAAGGUUCGUGGAUCAUUCUGUGUGACCACAACAAGGUGCUGCAUCACCAGUUUUGGGCCAACUUGGCCUUGUAUCGUGUCGGGCCUUAAGCCCAAGUUGUGGGCGCCCCCCCUGGUCGCACCCAACCCUAGUUUGCCUUUUUGAUAUAAACUCAGUAGCCACCACCUUAGAAACUCGGGUUUUAUUUAGUUCUAGUUUUACUUUAAGAAACUGAUAUUGAUACGUUGUAACUGUGGCGACAAGUCCUUUUACAGUGAUCCAGGGCUCCUGUUCCUAUUCUCGUCGACUGUGUCGAUUAGUCCUUUCGAAUUGAGAGCUUGGACCCUUCUUUACUUCGUUCAUAUUUGCAAUUUCAGAUUGCGUGUUUAUACUUUCUUGCUUGUGUCCUUCGAUUCGCUUGCAGGGAAAGCCUUCUCGGCGAGGUCAAUCAAGUUGUGCUUGGUUAAUAACCAACAGAGCAGCGGUGUAGCGGUUGCAGGGAUUCGAAUCAUAUCUGAUUAGAAGCUCAGAUCGUCAACGUCGAGUCUCCACCAAUCAAAUUUAUCACUACCUUUCAGAAGAUCGGGCAAGUGCUACAUCACAUGGAACAAAUUUUCUAACCCGUGUUUUAGUUAACAUGAAUUGCCGGCACACAACCUUCAUUAAAAAUGAUUCAAGUUCCUUUUUUAGAUAAUGGAUUCAAGUUAAUUACUCCCACGAUUGAAUUCAAACCUUAGAAUUUCUACUAAUGGAAAUAAACACGAAAAUGGUACAGAAGGAAAGAAAUGCAGGUCAGUGUGAUCGCGUAAAAACACGCGGCAGUAAGACAAGACAGCGUAAACGGCCUGACACAGGGGUUAACCGCUCCCUCCCCUUCAUCAAAAACCGCUACCCUCUCUCGCGCGCCAUUGCAUCUCCGUUGCGCCCUCCCACGCCCGCCGCUCAGCGCGCGGCCUCGCCCCGCGGCGGCUGGCCGCCGGCCUGUGCACCGCGCCCUCUCCCACCGGCCACCGUCGAUCACGUCCGUAAUGGCGGACGGGCAUGGCGAAGGUGCCGCCUGGGAAGGGCCCUACGACCCGUUCCUUAUGCAGGACGACUUCGACGACGUCAUGUACUUGCUCGACAUGGCCGCCGUCGUCCUUGACCCGCCGCCGCUGGCAGCACAGGCGCAGAACGUCGCCGCUGGUCCCUCUCCCUCCGGCGACAAUAAUCUCCUGGAGUGUCCGGCGAAGUCGAACAACGACUCCGUCGGCAACAGCGCUCCUACACACAAUGCCGGCGUCACCACCGGUUCUCCUAGCAGGGCGCAAGACGUGGGCGCUAGCACAUCGGCGACCGCAUCGACGUCAUCGCCGGCGGCCACGCACCAGAACGCGUUAGAUUGCACCGGCUGCCAAUUGCUGCGAGAAGUUCUGCACUCUAACGGUAGACACACGUACCGACGACAUGGAUCGUCCAUGGAUGCCGAUCAAUCACGAAUGCUCAUACAUCUGGCUUCUUGCGAAUUUCUAGGGUUUGAGGCGACAAAGCUUAGUAUCCAUGGGGCCGCCGGGGUGUUCUACCAUGCAACACUGCAGGUGUACCGCAUCAAUUCCGAGGGCAUGGCAACAUCACUGACGCAUCAAUCCAACAUUGAGUAAGUUGGAGAGACUCGAAUUUCAUGUUGUGGCAAAUUUCUCGAAUGCUUUUGCAGUGCAUCUACUAGCAGUAAUUUGGUUGAAGCCCAUAGUUUCAGGUGCCGGGACUACGAGUGGGUGAAACGCUACCUGACGGGCUACGCCCAGCAACGCGCUGGCGGAGGCUACACCGUCAUCCAUGACUCGGUCUCGGCGUUCCACGACGCCCUCUGCACCAGGAUGAGCUACGGCGGCGGCAACGUUGAAGGCGGCGACGACCGCUGUGAAGGGGAAAUAAUGGCGGCAGCAGCAGUCGAAAAUGGUGGUGGUGAUCAUCAGCAUCAAGAACUCGCCGGUGCCGCUGAUGUUGCUGCACAUCCUCCCGUCGAGCAGGGCGACGCGCCGGCAGCAGCAGCAGCAGCAGGUUGGAUUGUGCAUCAUUGCAUCAGCUCUUCUGAUCUUCUUGCCCUUUGCAUUAGGUUCUAGCUCGCUAGGGUUUAAGUUUCAUAUUCAGUUUAUCAGUUACGACUUAUGAAUAAAGAUUACUGUUUCAAAUGUAUAGGGCCUUCUGAACCAAGUGCUGAUAACGAGCAGGAGCAACGGGAGGUUCGCCCGGUUGGCGGCAGGAGUGCACUUGCGAUCCAGGUAUCUAUGACACGUGAUCAUUCCACUGGAUCUACUGUUUUCUGGCACACAAAUUGUUUGUUACACCUCAGCUACGGUUAGUUAACAUUGGAAUUACAAAUUUACAACUAGUUUAACAUUUUUAAUUUGCAGAGGGAGAGAGCGAGCAAUCUGCAGCUGAGCGACCUGGCGCGCUACUUCCACCUCCCCAUGACCGAGGCCGCCAAGCACCUCGGCGUCUGCGCCACCGUCCUCAAGACCACCAGCCGCAGGUUCAACGUACCUCGCUGGCCUCACCGAAAAGUAACCACAAGUUCACAUGACCUAGCUCUCCUUAAUUUAAUUAUGUGCUUCGUCCUAAUCUCCUUUACUAAUAUUUUCUGAUGAUUUUUUCUCUUUCAUAUGUUUAAUCAACCGGUGAUGGGGAUUAUAUUUGUUUGUGUGCAGAUCAAAAGCAUUGACAACCAUGUUGCCAAGCUGAGGAGGAGCGGCGGCAAUGGCGGUGCAGCGGCGAUGAGUGAGAUGGAGAGGCUCACCGAGUCCAGGAGAAAGAUUUACGCUGACCUGGUUGGUCAGUAAAGACCAGGCACAUUGUCUACAAUUUUUACACUGGAAAUAGUACUUGUAAUAAGAUGCCGCGCAGAUAUAUACUUUGUUGUCUAGUAAGAUGCCAACAAUUUUUGUUUACAAGAAAGGGAAUAAGGAGAGAGCCCUCUCCUAGAUUUCAUGGAUGCUAAAAUGAGAUGGAUUGUCAGGUCCGAGGAAAAAAAAUCAAAAAUUAAAUAAAACGCCACAUACACGCACGUAUAAUUGCCCCUGCUAACACACGCACGCAACCCUACCCCAAUAAGCACCUCCGAAAGAUCUAGCCGGCAAAUUCUCGAGGUUGACGAAGUCACCACUGAAGUCUCGCUGCCCGUCAAUCCAGGAGCACUCGUGGAGUCGAGGACUCGAACCUCGGUGGACAGGUUCCACCGUAAGGACCUUAACAUCACAUGUAUAUUGGCACAAUCGAACAAAGAAGUCGCGGAUCCAUCCCCUUCAAAUCAAUUCAUAUCUCCCAAACUAUAGGUUUGAUUACAAUGCAUGGAUUUUUGUAUAGGCAUGUAUUUCCAUGAAUCCCCUACUCAUAUCAAAGUUUUAGAUCAAUUGAACACCAUCUUACUAUCCAAAUUGAAGUGACACAAAAUUCAAGUGACACACAAUUUAUUUUUGUGCGUAACAAAUAUUCCAACGGUGGUGGUGGUGCUGACUCACAUAUGGUAGAUGGAAGGAGAGAAAUUUGGCCCACUUGGGCCCACAUCAAACAUCUCGGAGUAGGUAGAUAGACGACUUGCGAUUUACAAAGUAGGGAAUUCAAUCACAAGUUAUAUUCAGACUCAAAUACCGAACGCAAGAUUAAUUAUUCAUACUAACCGAACCAUUUUGACCAAUCUUCAAACUUCAACUCAAAACAAAUGUCAAAUUAUUUUUAAAAUAGCAUGGUUUGUGUUACAAUUUGUAAGUGACGAAGUACUUGAUUUUUUUUAAAAAAAGAUUACUCCUCGUACGGUAUACACUGGCACUAAAUAUUCAGUUUUACCAACAGUACUGACGAUGGCCAUCGUAUUUCCUUAAUAUUUCUCUCGUAUAGACGAUGGUAAAUUUUAGUGCAAUUCAAUACCAUUCCAUAUGCUCGUCACUUCAAAAAGGGCAACCAGUCUCCACACGUUAUCAUUCCAUGUGAGAUUAAUUUCAGAGACAAAAAUACUUGAAUUUGAAAUGGGAAUUCACAGGCAACAUCGAUUUUUCCUUCGACUAUACCACUAAUAUACACAGUUAUCCGCUAGCUAUAUGAUUAUGUGUUUGAAACGAAAACUCAACUAUUUUGUCAUCUGUUAUGUACGAUCUAAACCGUGACUGCCGGAGUUGGGAGCUCCGGUAUGCCACCCUGGCUGUUGAGCACGAUGACCUUCCCCUCUGAGUCAACAUCCACAAUGGCAGAGUCACCCUCCUUGACCUCCCCAGCGAGCAUCUUCUCCGCAAGGCUGUCCUCCAGCAGCCUCAUGAUAGCCCGCCUCAACGGCCGUGCACCGUAGCUGGGGUUGUAGCCUUCAUCCACCACCCGCUCCUUGAACUUCUCAGUAACCUGCAGGUUGAUGUCCUUGGCCUUGAGUCGGUCGAAGACCUCCUGGAGCAUAAUAUCUGCGAUCUCCUUGACCUCGAGCUUGGUGAGCUGCCUGAAGACGAUCAUCUCAUCGAGACGGUUGAGGAACUCGGGGCGGAAGUACUGCUUCAUCUCCUCAAUGACGAGGCUCUUGAUCCUGCCAUAGCUGCUGUCCUUCUCGUCGGAGUCGAGGUCAAAACCAAUCUUACGCCCACCCUUCUCAAUGACACUGCUCCCGACGUUCGAGGUCAUGAUUAGGAGGGUGUUCUUGAAGUCCACUGUUCUUCCCUUGCUGUCGGUCAACCUCCCGUCUUCCAAAAUCUGGAGCAUCAUGUUGAAGACAUCAGGGUGUGCCUUCUCAAUCUCAUCAAAGAGCACAACUGUGUAUGGGCGCCGUCUAACUGCCUCAGUCAGUUGGCCACCCUCAGUGUAUCCAACAUAUCCUGGAGGUGAACCGAUCAGCUUGGAAACUGUGUGCCUCUCCAUGAAUUCACUCAUAUCAAGCCGGAUCAUAGCCUCCUGAGAGCCAAAGUAAUAGGCAGCAAGGGCCUUAGCGAGCUCUGACUUCCCAACACCGGUGGGACCUGCGAAGAUAAAGCUUGCAAUCGGCCUGUUGGGGUUCUUGAGGCCCACACGAGCACGGCGAAUGGAACGACUAAUAGCUACCACAGCCUCAUCUUGGCCAAUGACACGUUUGUGCAAAGUCUCUUCCAUCUUAAGAAGCUUAUCAGAUUCAUCACUGGAAACCUUCUCCACUGGAAUGCCAGUCCAUGACGAUACUAUGUGCUGGAUAUCUGCUUCAUUAACCAUAGGUCCUGUCUCUCCAGAUUCCUCCUCUGCUUUGCUCAUCUCUUUGCUCUUGUCAAUGAGGGCUGUUAUCUGGGCUUUCAAUUCCAUUUCACGGUCUCGCAGCUCUCCAGCCUAAUGGCAAUACCCAAAAAAAAACA